rnacentral:rRNA from 1 species
AUGCCAGGCAACAAAAGGAACAAAGGGAACAAAGUUGCAAGCAUUGGCAAUGUGAUUGAAAGGUUAGGCAAGGUGAGGAGGGUCAUAAAGAAGGGCACCGGUGCGGCAACUUCCAUACAGGCAGGCAGGGCCAAACCUACACAGCGAGCCAUGGUGGAUGGUACCCGAGGUAGACGACGUGGUCAUACCACUGUAUCCCGUGUUGCUAGCCCUAUCCCCUCCAUCCAUUCCGAGGAGGAAUCGGAGGAGGAAGCAGAGGAGGAGAGGGAGGAGGAGCUAGUUGUGGAGGAGGAUGAGAGGGAGGAGUCGGAGGAGAGGGAGGAGUCAGAGGAGGAGAGGGAGGAGGAGCCGGUUGUGGAGGAGUUAGAGGAGGGAGAGUAUGAGGUGGAGACAUCGGCAGAGAAGAUGGAAUGGCCGGUUCCUAAGGAGAGCAAAAUCUGGUUGCGUGGGGUGUCCACGCACCCUUCGAGACCAUAUCCACAUAAGGGCCUCAUUGUCAAACCAGCCGGUCUGAGGGCCUUGGUGGUUGAUGGAGAAGACAUAAAAGUGCCACGCCAGCCAAGUAGCAUCAUUGGAUGUCUUUGCAGGCAUUAUUACCCUGGCCUGGUCCCCAUAGGAGACGGUGAGGAGGAGCCAGCUUGGUCUUGGGAGCAUUGGAAACGAGCUCCGGAUACCAAAGACAAGUGGGGCAGGGUGUAUGGUAGUGCCGCCGAGCGGGUGGUCAAUGAUUUUUGGGAUUUCUUUACUUGCGCCGAGGGUAUGAAGGAUGAAGCUAAUGAGGUUGUGGAGGUGAUUGCCAAGAAGAUUGUCCAAGACAUGCCCUAUGAGGCGCGCGUUGAUGCUGUGGUGAAGUAUUUCGCGCACGAAGGCAAAAUGCUUCUCAAAAAGUCUCUAGCCCGGAGAGUGCAUCUCACCCGUUCCAUGUACAUGAAGGCGGUUCCCUCGUGGUGCAACAACAAUGUUCCUUGCUACCAGCAAAUCAUAUCCAAAUGGAUAGACCCGGAGUGGAGGGCCCAACAUCGAAUGGCUUCGGAGCGGCGUGCCUUGAUGGGUGGUCCGGUACACCUUCAAGGCAACCUCAACCUCCACGCUUACGUGCAGAAGAAGAAUAGGGAGAGAGGUGAGGGCCAAGAGAAGCUCAAUACCUUCACGGGAUUAUGCCUCUCCCGCAAGUCAAAGAAACCGGAAGGGGGGUGGGUCAACCCAGGCGCUGGCUUGAGGAUUGAUGCAUACAGUGGGAAGUUCAAGGAGCACAACGGGCCUGACUCUGAUCCAGCCUCACAGGACAUUGACGCUACAAUUUCCCUCCAGUCGGGAUAUGGCAAGAAGGGUGGUCGGUUAUAUGUUGGCGAUGGUGCCAUCCGUAAGAAGGACAUCCCAAAACUCUCUCACCUCCGUGCUACCAUGUCGAGCUCAGGUCCUGCUAUAGAGCGUCGCCCACAGCCUGGGCUGCACAUGCUCCAUCAACUCGAGGCCAAUGCCAGGCUUCGAGAGGAGGAAGCCAUGAAAAUGCAGCAGGCCCUGUUUCAACAACAAGAAUUCAUGGUUAACCAACGGGCAAUCAUGUAG